AGAAAAUCAGCAAAUUUUCAUCCUUGCAACCGUCCGAAGGGUUUUUUAGAAAUGAUGCACGCGAAGGGAUGGAAUGCAGAAGUGUGAAAAUAUGAGUGUUAAAUAAGGACAAGAAUGCAGUGGGUGAAACGUUCAGACCUGAGAGAUGACAGCUUUGCAAAGGCAAGACGUUAAUGAAAGAGAAAAGUCGUGGGUAGGAGGAAAACAAGUGGAGGAAGAUAAACCUUGAGAUUAAACAGAGGAUGGGAGAAUGAGGAUGAGGAGGAAAAGUGAACAGAAACACAGUUGAAGGUUGAACAGAAUAGAAAAGUGAGAAAAAGCGACGAUGGGAAGGAGAGAACGAUGCAAGAAAACAAAACAUGGAGGCGAGGGGUCAGGAGAUUUAAACUAGACUAGAUAAAGAAGAGAAAAGAUGGAAAGAGGAGGUGAACGGAGGGAUAAAUCGGUCUAACGGUGCAGAAUCUGAUAAAACACCAGAGCAGAGGAAGAGCCAGACUGGGUGUCUGCCAGAGCCCAUCACUGUGGGGACAUUUAUCCCAGACCAGCGAGCAGCAACAAAGCCUGGGAGGACCAGGACGUCCUGCCAGAAGCGGCUCCAUGAGGUCCAGCAGGGAGAGGAUGUGCAGCACAGCUCUGUCAGAGGCAGGAGACGUCCAGCCGGGACAGCAGAGACAUUUCUACUAAAGGCAUUAGGCUGCCGGAUGGAGAGGAAACUAAGGCUGAUGGACGCUGCUGCUGAGUCGUCUGUGGACGACAGGAAAAAGGAAGUUGCCGAUGACAAAGGAAACACGGAGGAAGCAGGUCAAAACUCCCCAAAGAUGAACGACGAGGCCGAUGCGGACAACGACGAGGAGAAAAGCAGCCAAUCAAAAUAUAAAACGGUGUCCUACAAGAAGAUCCGCAAAGGAAACACAAGACAGAGGAUCGACGAGUUUGAGGCCAUGUUUAACGUGUGAAAAAUAAAAAUGAAAGGCAGAGGACUGAGGACAGAGCCUUGAGGCGCUCCACUAAAAAA